rnacentral:rRNA from 1 species
GAGUUUGAUCCUGGCUCAGAUUGAACGCUGGCGGCAGGCCUAACACAUGCAAGUCGAGCGGAUGACGGGAGCUUGCUCCUUGAUUCAGCGGCGGACGGGUGAGUAAUGCCUGGGAAUCUGCCUGGUAGUGGGGGACAACGUUUCGAAAGGAACGCUAAUACCGCAUACGUCCUACGGGAGAAAGCAGGGGACCUUCGGGCCUUGCGCUAUCAGAUGAGCCUAGGUCGGAUUAGCUAGUUGGUGGGGUAAUGGCUCACCAAGGCGACGAUCCGUAACUGGUCUGAGAGGAUGAUCAGUCACACUGGAACUGAGACACGGUCCAGACUCCUACGGGAGGCAGCAGUGGGGAAUAUUGGACAAUGGGCGAAAGCCUGAUCCAGCCAUGCCGCGUGUGUGAAGAAGGUCUUCGGAUUAGUAAAGC